UGACCUUUCAUUAAAAAAGCCUUUUGUUCUUUGGCAUUGAAGUUUAAUUGGUUUUUAUUGUUCAGUUUGUUAUUAAUUGCUUAACAACUAGUUGUAGCCUUGUAGGGGCACAUCAAGGAAGUGUUGGAGCUAAGGAUACAAGAAAAUCUGGUUCAAGCUGCAAAUCCCAGUUCUAAAGACAAGAACACAAUGAUAUAGUUUGUGUAGAAGGUUUUCUUUAUUUAUUAGAAUACUUUAGACCUUUCUACA
rnacentral:lncRNA from 1 species